UCUAUGCUGCAAACUCCUGGAAAGGGACUUGUGGUUUCAGCAUCUCAAAAGGAAUCUUUUUUUUCCCCCACUGCAUCAUUACCAGGCUUGAAGAACAUAUAAAGCUGUUAUCAAAUAAACAUGUGUAGCCAAAAAUGAAAGGGGGAAAGCAUUACAGAGGUGUAGAAGGGGAAUGAACAUCGGCAGAGAAUGGACCAUAACCAGGGAUUGAUCAUUGGACACUCAAAACCAAGAGG